UCAUUGUGAAGCUAAAUUAGCGCUAGCCUUUUAAGCUAGAGAGUGAGAGCUGAAACUCUCCAUGAUGAA
rnacentral:tRNA from 1 species